CAUCACUUUUGGGGAGUAGGGAAAGUCUGUGUUUGAGAGGGGAUAUAUUAGUUUUUUAUUGUCAUUAUCACAAAUUAUUACAAAUGCAGUAGCUUCAUACAGCACAAUUUUUUUUUUAUCUUAUGAUGCUGUAGACCAGAAGUCCAUGAAAAAUCUCAUGGGCUAAGAUGAACUUGUCAGCUGGGUGCAUUCCUUUUUGGAAGCUCUUAUGGAGAACUUGUUUCCUUGCCUUUUCCACCUUCUAGAGAUUGUCCAAUUUCCCUGGCUCAUGAUCCCUUCCUCCAUUUUCAAAGCCGGCAACACUGGGCUCCAGUCCUUCUCAUGCUACCAUCUAUCUGGUUCUUGCUUCUCUAUUCACAUCUUACUUUUCCACUUUCAAAGAUCCUUGUGGUUACAUUGGACCCACCCAGUUAACCCAGAUUAAUGGCCGUAUUUUGAAGUCAGCUGAUUAACAACUGUAAUUUCAUCCUCAAACUGAAUUCCCCUUUGUCAUAUUUCAUACGUCAUGUGUCAACAUAACAUGUUCACAUAUCCUGGGGAUUAAGAUGUGGGCAUCUUGGGGGGCCCAUUAUUCUGUCUACCAUAAGAAGCAUGAGGGGACUCUUCUUUUCCUUUUCUUUCUUUAUCUUAUUUUUUCUUUAAAAUGAUAGGAGUCAGAAAUUACUUAUGUCACUCGAUUUUUUUCAUUACUGAACCUGGGUAACCUUUUAUUUUUCAUUUUUUCUAGGAAAUACAAGUUUGGGGACUAAAGUAGGCAAAAGAAAUGUGUUCUGUGUCCUGUUCUGUGUCAGAGAUGGAAAAUGGUGAUGCUUCCUAUUCUGCCACAAAUGUGUUGAUGCUGUUUGAGUGUGGCAACGAAGCAGAAACGCCAUACUCAAUUUCCUUUUGGAAAUGUCAAGGAGAACCCAUCUAGCUUCCAAGUUGCACUGCAAGCUGAGAGCCUCCUUCUCCCCAAAUGUGUCCAGAAAGAGUUUUUUGUUUCUUGCCCAUAAACAUGCCCAGUGACUUGAUUUCCUAAGAUUCUGUAAUAUAAUGUUGACUCCUAAUUUUGUUUUAAUCAUUUUAGUUACAUAUCAGCUCAAAAGCCAAAUUAACUCUGUUCUUAUUUUAGUUGUGAAAACAAAUUCCAGCAUAAGCAGCCAUCCAGGAAUGUCUUUGCCACUUUGUCUUUUGGCACAAAUUCUUCCUGAGAUGAUUUGGGGAAGGUACUCUGUGCUUUCAUCAUGUCAAGCACACAUCUAUGUGUUACAAAAAUGUGGCACAUAUGACAAAUAGAAAAAAAAGCAGAUUAAAUUAUUAGGACAUGUGCAUAUUGAGUGUAUUCUUUCUCUCAAGUGUGUGUAGAUUUUCCUCCUAACAGUUCUUGGGGAGAAGAUUUGCAAGUAAAUUUUGGAUUGACAAGAUUUUUUCUCCUUGGCUAACCUUUCCUUCUUACCACAUCAUUUUACUUCCCUUCCAGUGAGAUUUUGGUCUUGGACUUAAUUAAACAGAUUGUUGUGGGGGGCUAUUUCCAACCAUAUCUGGGAAAUUAUCUUCCCAAUUGAACCUCUGAGUUCAAUUCACUUCUCCUCUCUCUAUUGGUGUGGCCUUAAGAUCAUUCCAGGCAUAAACUUUAUUUCUUACCCUAUCUCCUCCCUCCAAGAUGCUAUGGGAUGACUCCUAUGCUGGUUGAUUAUGUAGUUCUUUACUCUGUUUUCCCUCUGCAGCCACAAGGUGAGCAGAUUGGUUGGAACUUGCGUUCACUGAUGGAACUUAGCUAUGUAUGCCCAAAUGGCAAGAUGGGGAAACAGGGAGAACUUGCCAGCAAUGCUGUUACAAAUAGUUUCUAAAAAACAGAAAACAUAAUAUAUUACAUUUAAAAUGUUAUGCUCUGUACCUAGUGGCAUCUACGAUCUCUUCACAGUUAGUUCUUCUGUAUCAUGAAAGCAUGCGAGCUGACGCUAGUACUUCUUCGGGUGGCUUUUGAAAACCUAGUGGUCUCUUAUGAAAUCAGGAAUCUGGAUCAAUGAAACUCAGACUUUAUUGUUAGAUAAAGCAAAGAUAAUAUAAUAGUGUGAUAGAGCACUAGCUCUCAAAUUUUACGAGUUUAAUUAUCACCUAGAGAGCUUGUUAAAACACAGAUUAUUAUUAUUUUUUGAGACAGGGUCUCACUCUGUCACCCAGGCUGGAGUUCCGUGGUAUGAUCGUGGCUCACUGCAGCCUUGACCUCCAGGGCUCAAGCAAUCCUCUCAUCUCAGCCUCCCAAAUAGCUGGGACUACAGGCACGUGCCACCACACCUGGCUAAUUUUUUUGUAGGGAUGGGGUUUCACUAUGUUGGCCAGGCUGGUCUCGAACUCUUGGAUGCAAGUGAUCCACCCACCUCGGCCUCCCAAAAUUCUGGGAUUACAGGUGUGAGCCACUAUGCCCGGCCAAAACGCAGAUUAUUGAUCAUUGAUUUCUAUCUUCAGAGGUUGUCAUUCAGGUCCCAACUGCCCAUUUGUGUACCACACUUUGAAUCAUACUGGGAUUGGAUAUACCAGUCACAGAUAUGCAUAAAUUCCAAAUGAAAUUGUCAUGCUGUCAUAGAGAUGGGCUCUCAUUUCUUGGAGGCUCUCAGGAAUUCCUGUGAGGAUCUGUGAUUCUGUUAAGGGGCAAGAAUAAUGCCUGACACACAGCAGGUGACUAAUACAUGUGUGGAGAACAAAUCCUCAGCAAGGAGUGAAGAUAUGAAACAAAAGAACAAGAGAAGAAGUUUUCCAUUAACUUAUAAAUGAAAGAGAAGGAGUUUUCCAUUAACGGAUAAACAUUGAAACUCGCCUUCAGAAUGAAGCUAUAAUUCCAGUUUCACAGUCCCAAGUUAAAGAGAGGAGAAAGAAGCCAGAUUCAGGGAACUAUGUGGUGAGAAAUAGAAACUGGAUUUAGGAUAAAUUGCGCAAAUCCACAACGAGAGAUCCGACCCUAUUUCCAGAGUUAAACUGGAAUGGAACCGUUUGUAGCUCAGAUGUGUCAGUAUAUAGAUGCUAGUCUUCACUUCUUCACCAUUUCAGAGUCUUCACUGUGUUGAAUGUAUUAAUGCUCUACUCCAGAGCUUAUGUGUCAAUUGGACAGUAGUUGUUAAGUUUUUGGUGGAGUGGCAGACUAAAUACCUUGACCAAUACUUCUGAUUGGAACAACAAAAAAUGUUGUGUUUCACAAAGAUGGCAUGAAACGAAGAAAUAUUUAGAGGCCAAAUAGAAAGGAGAGUAGGAAAUAUGACAGGUAAAUUAGCAUCAAUGUUUGUUUGUGCACUGGGGUCUCUGGUGAGUCCUAAUGACGUUGAUUCUACUGCAGUGAUGAGAGGGGACAUGAGAAGAUGGAAUAAGACACGUCCUCCACAAAGUAGGGAGUCUGAUGGGGUCCCCCAUAUAAAUGUAGAACCCCAAGGGGUCGCAUUAGGAGUAUAAAGGUGAAUAAGAAAGAAUGCAGAAGAGUAUAGCAAGGACAAAAAUUUGCCUUCAUUGCUGUGUGAAGAAGGAAAAUGAGAAAUAACUAACACUUAGCCCUCAUGUGAGUUUGAUUUCAGAAUUCAUGCUACCUAUAUAAUCCAAAAAAUGUUCAAUUAGGGAAUUGAAUUGAAAAUGGUUCUGGGUUAUUUAGAAGCUGGGUUUCUUUCCUCCUUUCUCUGAAGACAAACAACUGUAACCCAUGCCUAAAAAUUCCCAAAGAUGAAGUUUAAAAAUACUAAGCUCAGUCAAAAAUAAUAAAAUACACAAGGAAGCAAGGCAACAUAAAUAGCGGCUGGUGGAAACAGUGAAGGCAGAAUCAGACUUGUAAAAUCUUCAGUUAUUGAAAUUAUCAGACACAUAAUUUAAAAUAACUAUGCUGAAUAUAUUUUUAGACAUAAAAGAAAAGCUUCAAAAUAUGAGAAUGAAACAAGAAACCAUAAAGAUUGACCAAAGCGCUUCAAAUGAAAAGGUCAAAUUGAAUUUUUAGAAGAGAAAAAUAGAAUAAUUGAAAUAACUCAGUGGAUAGGUUAAAGGGCAAGGUAGACAGAACUAAACAGAGAUUUAGUGAACUAGAAGAGAUAUCUACAACAAUAGCAAUAACAACAAACUGAGAAUGCAGACCAGAGAGACAAAGACCUGAGUAUAUAAGAGAGGUUAAGCGAUAUGGAGGAUGGAGUUAGAAGAUUUAACAUAGAUCAGAUCAGAGAUUCAGACAGUAAUUACAUGAAGAAUGGAAAAUAGUCAAUAUAUAAAGUACACAAUUAUUGAGAGUUUUUGGAAUUACUUAUCCUUAGAACCAAGCAGCCCAAUACAUAUCAAGUAAGGUAAAAAUAAAUCCACACCUAGGUUUUAAAAAAUGCAAAACAUCAAAGACAAAGAGUGUUAAAAGCAGCCAACGAAAAAUGACACAUUGCCUGCAAAAGAUGGUGUUUAGACAUUUUGGGAGCAAUAGAAUAUAGUGGAAUAAUAUAGUGUAUGUACUGAAAGAAAACAACUCAAUUUGGAUAUUAUGUAAAGAAAACCUUUAUUUAGUGAUAAUCUUUAUUUAGGAAUAAAGUCUAAAUAAGAACAUUUUAAAACAAAUAAAUAAACAACAAACAUCCUCAUUAAAGGUUAUUCUAAAGAAUAAACUUCAUGUAAAAGGAAAAUGAUCCUAGAUGGAAGUUUGGGGUGCGGGAAUAAACCAUAAGCAAAGAAACCUGUAAAUAGGUGGACAAAACUAAGCAAACACUGCCUGUAUUAAAAAAAAAGUCUGGUUUGUUUUUCUUUUUGUGAAAUAGAAUAUAACUAAAACAAUUAAGAAUUAGAUAAAGGAUCCAAGUUAAAAUAUUCUAGGUUUUUGUAAUUCUUGGGAUGAAGGUAACAAUAUUAACCAACUUUGGACUUUGAUAAUUUACAUCUCCAUGUUAAAAUGACUAGGGUGCUGGGCACAAUGGUUUGAGCCUGUAGUCCCAGCUACUAGGGAGGCCAAGGUGGGAGGAUUGCUUGAGGGCAGGAGUUUGAGACCAGCCUGGGCAACAUACUGAGACCCCCAUAUCUAAAAAAAAAAAAAAAAAAAGUGGCUAGGAUAAGAACAGACAGAGAAAAUGUAGAACAUAUAGCAUAAACCUUCGAAACAAUAAGGAAAACAGAAUGAGAAAUAAAAGACUUAAUCUAAAAAAAAGGAACUAAAGAAAAUUUAAAAAGAGAUACAGACAAUAACAGGGGAAUAGAAAAUAGAAUAUAGGCCGAGCGUGGUGGCUCACGCCUUUAAUCCCAGCACUUUCGGAGGCCGAGGCGGGCAGAUCACCUGAGGUCAGGAGUUCAAGACCAGCCUGGCCAACAUGGUGAAACCCUGUCUGUACUAAAAAUACAAAAAUUAGCAGGGCUUGGUAGUGGGCACCUGCAGUCCCAGCUACUAGGGAGGCUGAGGCAGGAGAAUUGCUUGAACCCAGAAGGUGGAGGUUGCAGCAGUGAGGUGAGAUAGCGCCACUGUACUCCAGCCUGGGUGACAAAGCAACACUGUCUUUAAAAAAAAAGAAAAAAAAGAAAAUAGAAUAUAAUAUUGUUGAAAUUAACCUAAAUAUAAGAGUAAAUAUUAUAAAUGCAAGUAACCUGAACUCUUUCAUUAAAAAACAAUGGUUCCAGACUGGAUUAAAAAACUAAGCUAAAUUCUCUUUAUAAAUGAAAACAUAAGCACACAGAAAUAUUGAAAGACAAAGGAUAGAAAAGGAUACCCCAUGCAAAUUCUAAUCAAAACAAAUCUGAGAUUUCUAUGUUAAUUUUGGAUGAAAGCAUUAUUAAAGAGAGUCAUCACACAAUGGUAAAAAUCCAGAUCGCUAGGAAAACAUUACAACUCUAAGAGGUAAUAUAUCUUUUCAAUUUAUACAACAAAAUAGGCAGGACAAAUAGAUAAACCUACCAUAGUGUUUGGGUUUUACCAUACUUCUUUUAGUAACACAUAGAACAGGGAGAGAAAAUAUUAAUAAGGCUACAAAGAUUUAAACAACAGAAUUGACAAAUGUGAUUUAAUGGACAUACGUAGAACAUUACAGCCAACAACAGCAGAACACACAUUCUUUCAAGAACCCAUGAAACAUGUAUGGUCAUCUACUUUGUACUGAGCCCUAUAGCAGGUCUCAGCCAAUCUCAAAGGGUCAUAGCUACCCAGACCACACCCUUUACCACAAUGCAAUUACAUUAUACAACAAUAACAUAGACUAACUAGAAAAAACCUAUAUGUUUGAAAAUUAAGACAAAUACAUUCAGGUAAGUCGUGUCAAAGGAGAAAUCACAAGAUAUUUAGAAUUGCAGGAUAGUUGUUUAUGUAUCAAAACAUAAACUAUACCCCCAUAAACAUACGGGGGUAUAGUUAAUACAAGACCUAGACAGAAAGCUGUAGACUUACGUACUCAUAUCAGAAAAUAAGAAAAGCUCAAAAUUAAUUAAUUCAAUGUUCAAUUUUAGGAGUUAGGAGAGCAGAGCAGUAUAAAGUCAAACAAAAUUGAAGGAAAAAUAACGAAGAAAGAAUAAAAGUACAAAUGAGUAGACUGGAAAAUAAAUAUGCAAUAGAGAAAAUCAACAAAGCCAAAAGUUGAUCAUUUGGAAGCACUAACAAUAAAUCUCUGGAAGAAUUAAUUAACAAAAGAGAAAAUAAGAUAAAUGAGGAACAGAAGAGGGGACAUAAUUACAAAGGCUGAGGAGAUAAAAAGAUGACUCUAGUUGGGAUAGCCCUGGUGAGAUUUUGGACAUAUAGAGGUAGGCACUGGCUGUACAACUUCCUUCAAAGCCGGCUCAGUGUUUAACUGUCAUUGUGUUCAAUGCAACAUCCUAAGUGCAGGGCAAGUGCUGAGCCAGUAUUCCAAGUGCUGCAGGUGAAGUCCUGAGAGAACCCAGAGAGGAAAGAGUAGCCAAGUGUGGACGGGUUAUCCAAGAAUCCAGAAGACCUGCAGUAGGACUUGAAACUUUCCAUGACACAAGUUGAUUGAGAGGUUGCUGAGAAGGUGUCCAAAUAGGAAUGUGCAAAAGGUAAAGUGAUGAGCCUGGAAAGUCCAGUAAAUGGGAUAACUAGCAGAGACUCUUCUGCUCCAUGGGAGUGGGGUAUAAUGGGCUGAGCAUAGAAGGAGUAAAGGGUGAAAAGAAUGGUUACAACGCUGAAAUACAGACCACUGUUUACAGCUUGGGAAAUUUAACCCUUCACACUGUCUCUGUCCUGGGAUCUUGGCUCUGAGCUACUUCUGCUGGGCACCUGACUGAUUUCCUGGUAUGUCUUCUUGGACAGCCACCAAUUUGGUGUUAAUACUCACAAGGGAUCCUCUGAAUCUGGGAACAUAAAUAGCCAUUCUUACAUCCAAUGGCUUAUGAAAACCUGAAUGACUGACCUCUGCUCCCUUUUAACUCCUUAAAUGAAUUCCUUAACUGUCUUUAUUUCCUUUCUUUAUUACUUUUAAUUCUUACAUUAGUUUUUCUCCUUUCCCUUCCCAUGCCUCCUCUCGUCCUUCUUUCCUCACACUCUCUUCUUUCCCUUAUACCCCAAACAUUCCUUGAGUUCUUGCUAUAGUCCAGACCAAGGAUCAGCAGGUUCCUUCUGCAAAAAGCCAGGUGGUAAAUAUUUAAGCUUUGUGGGCCAUCCAUUCUCUGUUGCAGCUACUCAAUUCUGAGCUGUGGUGUGAAAACCACCAUAGGUAAAUAAAUGGGUGUAUCUGUGUUCCACUAAAAUUUGUGGACACUGAAUUUCAUAUCAUUUUCUUUGUUAUAAAACACUAUUCUUUUUCUGAUUAUUCUCAACCAUUUAAAAUUGUAAAAACCAUUCUUAGCUUGUGGGCCAUAAAAACAGGCAGUGGGCCCAGGGACCGUCAAUUACUGACCCCUGGUGUAGAAAACACAGAGUUUAAAUGACAGCCCCACCUUCCUGCCUCUCUGCCCCUAAGUACGGACUGACACAGGACAGCAUGAGCUGCAGACAGAAGAAGUGGCAGGAGUAGUAAUGAAUAAGGGGAAAUUGCCCCUGGGGGAGGUGACAUUUUUACUGCCCCUUGAAGGACUGGGUGGGUUUCAGAUGCUUGCAUUAAUAUGACAUCCCUGCUGAGUGACUCCCAAUUCUCAUUUCUUUUCCUAACUUGAAACCUCAGUCACAGCACUUGCCUCCUGACUUUAAAAGACACUGGAUUUUCUCAGCAGGCGUAGAUUCCACUGCAACCCAGCUUCUUCCUACUCAGAUGACCUUCCUCACCUGUGAUUUGGAGCCCUUGCUCUAGUCUGUAGAACAGGGUGAGGAGCUUGUGUGGGCUGGCUGUGCUGUUGGAGUUAUAAGCUCAGAAAUCUAGCUGACUUCUGAACUCAAAAAAACUUGGCUAAGGCAGACAGUUUUCACAGCCAGGGUUCCAUGAGUAGAAAGAGUAAAUUCCUGCUUCAAGCUUCUUGUCAAGACCCAGCUUAAGGAAUCCAGUUAAAUGGUCCUUUUAAAUGUGCCAGUGUCCCUUUCAUUCAACAUGACCUAGCUAGGGUGUCAAAAAGUGGGCUUUGCCUUUUCAACAUCAGUUUUUCCAUUUCUUUUCUUCCCUCCCUCCUUUCUUUUUUCUUCCAAUAUUUAGCAAAAGGCCAAAGUACUGAAAUAUGAAUUGAUUGUGCAAAACAAACUAAAAUUUGCCUCGGGGUGAUAUACGGAUUUUUCAUUUAUUUCUGUUAACAUCUUCCAGUCCUUGAGUGUGUAUAUAAAGGAUCGGAACCCUAAUUUAUCACAGUGAUCAUAAAGAGUUGCUGUGGCUUUUGUCUUUGAAAUUCUGAUGAUUAGAUGGUAUUGUUAUUCAGAGCAGGGGCCUGAGGGCUGGGGAAGCCCUGUGCAGGACCCUGGCUCAGGCUGGCAUUUUUUAUGACAUGAGAGCAGGUCUUCAUUUCCCAACACUAUCAUGUAGUUAAAAAAAAAAAAAAAACCCACACUGAUCUUGAACUUUAAAAACAGGAAUGAGAUUCCAGUUUGAGUAUUUGCUAACUUAUGACUUGGGAAAAUCCCUUAACCUCUUAGAAAGUCAGUUAUACUUAUCUAUGUUUUAAAAAUGGGGGUAAUUAAAAAUUUUUUAUUCAUAGGGUUGUUGAGAAGGCACAGUGAGAUAACAGGUAUGAAAAUGCUUUGUGAAGUAUGAAAUGAGAGGGCCUUUCUAGAGUGGUCUCCAAAUCACCCAGGACUCUUCUGAGCUCCCAAAGACCUUAUUUGAGAAGGUGAUGAAGGUCAAAGAAGAAAGAUGCUCUCAAUUCUUUGGUCUGGUGUGAAACUCUGUGUUCUUGUCUCCCAGGGGAUUUUUUCUUAGUCCAUAAGUCUCUUCUUUCCCCAGGUUCUAUACUGGUUGUUUUUGCUUACAAAUUCCUGUAUUGCUUCCCUUACAGGUACUAUCAGGUCAUUCUGAAGACCCUUGCUGUUCUGUGGUUGUGGAAUUUUUUCAUUUCAAACAGGCUGUGGUCCUGUUUUCAAGGUUCACUCUCCUCCACAGAAGGCCUACAACCCCAGCCCCUAGGUGGAAAAGGAUUGCACCUCUGAAUUGCACCCUAUGGCGGUAUGUGAUUGUUUUACCCAGGACAGAACAUGGAGGGGUAAGUGUGUUUAGGCUUCUGACACUUCUUUGUAUGAUUGCUAAUGUGAGUCCCUUGGAAAAUCUACUCUUCUAGCAUGAGUCCUGUACUGUCUUUUCCCUCCUCCUCCCACCACUUCUCCUUGCUGCACAGGUAGCAACCCUCCUGCUAUUAGCAAGAUGUCUAUUACAGUGUCAUUAAAAAAGCCAUAGUCAGUGCGAGGAAUGACUCAUGUCAUGGAGGACUUAAUAAUUCACUGUAAUAAAAGUAUAAAGUUUUAUGAUAAACCACUCUCAGGGGAGUUAAAUAUAAUCCUUAGCGGGUCAUACACUGACUACAAAGCUUACAUUUGUAAUGGUAAUUUGAAUUUACUACAUCGCCUUUAGUUUUUAAGCGUUUGUGUGUCAUUAGACCUUAUAAAUUGAUUUAUAUGUUUCAACUCCAGUGUAAUUCUGCAUAAAGGUACAAUAAAUUUUAUGGAUUGGAGAUAUGGCAUCUAAAACAUUUUAAUAAAAUUAUUAUUCUAAAUUCACUUAAAUGGCAUUGAUGAAAAGCGGCA
rnacentral:lncRNA from 10 species